rnacentral:lncRNA from 1 species
UAUAUAUAUAUAUAUAUGUGGAUAUCAACAUAUUUCUGGAGAGUAUAACAAUGAAAUUACAUUUUCCUAGUGGUUACCACAAUUUAAAGCUAUGUUCAGUCAUCGGGUUCGACCCAUACAAUUUGCAUUUUAUGCGUUUUUUAAAGGAGUGGCAUUUUUGUAAUAUUUUCGUCAUCUUCCUUAAAACAUUUAAGGUUUUCUGCAAUUAUUUGUUGCGGCCGCCAUAGAUUAGUUUCCUCUAUUUCGUCAUUAUUUUUGCGUUUUCUCUCGUUUUUCAUGCUUUAAACUUGUAGAAAUGUGAUAUAACAUCAGAUUUCAAACAUUUCAACCCAACAACUAAGAUGUUUUGAUUUUGCCAGUUUUAAUGGCCGAGU